UACGGAGGGUGCGAGCGUUAAUCGGAAUUACUGGGCGUAAAGCGCGCGUAGGUGGCUUGAUAAGCCGGUUGUGAAAGCCCCGGGCUCAACCUGGGAACGGCAUCCGGAACUGUCAAGCUAGAGUGCAGGAGAGGAAGGUAGAAUUCCCGGUGUAGCGGUGAAAUGCGUAGAGAUCGGGAGGAAUACCAGUGGCGAAGGCGGCCAUCUGGCUGGUAACUGACGCUGAGGUGCGAGAGCGUGGGGAGCAAACAGG
rnacentral:rRNA from 1 species